GUGGGGAAUCUUGCGCAAUGGGCGAAAGCCUGACGCAGCGACACCGCGUGCGGGAUGAAGGCCUUCGGGUCGUAAACCGCUUUCGGCAGGGACGAAGCGAAAGUGACGGUACCUGCAGAAGAAGGCCCGGCUAACUACGUGCCAGCAGCCGCGGUAAGACGUAGGGGCCGAGCGUUGUCCGGAUUCAUUGGGCGUAAAGCGCGCGCAGGCGGCUUCGCAAGUCGGGUGUGAAAACCAGAGGCUCAACCUCUGGCCUGCAUCCGAAACUGCGUGGCUAGAGGCAGGUAGGGGAGAUCGGAAUUCCUGGUGUAGCGGUGAAAUGCGCAGAUAUCAGGAGGAACACCGGUGGCGAAGGCGGAUCUCUGGGCCUGUCCUGACGCUCAGGCGCGAAAGCUAGGGGAGCAAACAGGAUUAGAAACCCUUGUAGUCC
rnacentral:rRNA from 1 species